AACUUGGGAAGCUUCAAGAAUUGUUUGUGUCUUCACUCUUCCUAAACAUUGCCCGUGUUUUCCAGGGGUAAGACUAUGAACACAACCUUUUGUCUACUGAACUCACAUUCCUGUGAGACCUGUAACAUUGACGCCAAUGUCUCAGGGAUGUCGACGGCAGCUUUAUGGACGGCACAAGCUCAGCUGAUCUCCGGUAAAGGAGCCCAAAGGGACACAGGAUGUUGGAGACAGUGUUUUCUUGCCGGCAGGAUAAAAAAGAACUGAGAGGAACGAGAGCCGGAGAACAAAACGAGGAGUGGUGGGCGGCUUUAAUGGCAUACAGGUUUCUGGCUCAUCUCUUUGAUGUUUUUAGCUUGACGUGCUCCUCUGUGGGCAGCGAGAGCAAGUUUGACCUUUAAAAAAAGCUCCAAAUGAUAGCAUGCAGCGUGAACGCUUUCAAAGUGAAGAGGUGACACUGCUUAUGUAACGUCUACUCCACUGUGGAGUGUUCCCCGCGUGGGAGGACGCAUGCACCGUCUGGACACAACGCACGCCUGGCGGAGCUGCCCAUGGUGCUGAAACCACCAGAACAGUGAAGACAUUAAAAUACUACUAACCAAUGCGAACAAUGUUAUAAAUAUGUUAGAUUGUUCAUGCCAAAGUUAUUCUUGACAUGUUUUGAAACUGAACAAAGAGCAUUAUAUUCCUGUAAAAUCAUUAAAACGUUGACAGUGUCUCAUAA